AAAGAUUUAAGUUAAUCAAAACUAAUAACCUUCAAAGUUUUAAAUAUUUUUAAAUAAUCUUUA
rnacentral:tRNA from 1 species